rnacentral:rRNA from 1 species
CACGUAGGGUGCGAGCGUUGUCCGGAAUUAUUGGGCGUAAAGAGCUCGUAGGCGGUGUGUCGCGUCGGCCGUGAAAACCUGUGGCUUAACUGCGGGCUUGCGGUCGAUACGGGCAUCACUGGAGUUCGGCAGGGGAGACUGGAAUUCCUGGUGUAGCGGUGAAAUGCGCAGAUAUCAGGAGGAACACCGGUGGCGAAGGCGGGUCUCUGGGCCGAUACUGACGCUGAGGCGCGAAAGCCAGGGGAGCAAACGGG